UACUGGAUGGUCUGAUUCGUCGGAUCCUCUGCUGUCUAUCAGAGUAGUCCUCACUACUUUACUGGUCACAGAGGGCCUCCCAUAUGUCCCUCUGCAUCUAAUGAUCUGUGAAAGACUUUCAGUCCAAUGGUGACUCGAAACUAGAAAACUCUAUAGCGGGCUGCUUGAGGUUGUACAACCCAUCCUAGAGCCUAUAUGUGGCCACC
rnacentral:lncRNA from 1 species